rnacentral:piRNA from 1 species
UGUAAGUAGCCAAGGAAAAAUUGUUGAUUU